GUGGUCACUGUGAAAGUACAUAUACUAAAUGUGGAACGAUAAAGAGAAGAUUAGCAUGGCCCCACGCAAGAAUGACACGCAGAUUGGUGAAUCGACAGUCGAUGUA